GAAAAAUGUUUUAUAAAUUGGCCAAUUACAUUUAAUUUUCAACAGAAAUGCAUAUAAAAUUGAGGAUGUUUAUUGAAAAAUAUAGUACAGCUGUAUAAAAAAAAAGAAAGUAUAUAAAGGAAUAACUGAAUGUUUUAUAAAUGGGAAAAAGUUCAUACAAUGAUAGGUUUGCAAAAAAUCCUUGGUCAAAACUCAGUGACAAAGUAUACUCUUACUCCAGGCUCAUCAUUGAAUGUUCUUGUGUUUAUUCUUCUUGUUAAGUUGAUAUGGAGGUUAUGGCCUCCAAUUCUCACGUUUCAGUUGGAAUUGUUUUCUUUAAAAACUAGAUCAAUGUUGACUGCUGGG
rnacentral:lncRNA from 1 species